rnacentral:rRNA from 1 species
UACCNGAGUACUAUGAAUGCUGUAAAUUUAAAACUCAAAGAACUUGGCGGUGUUUUAGACCACUCAGGGGAACCUGUCUCGUAAUCGACAAUCCACGUUGUACCUGACCUUUUUUUGUUUUCAGUUUGUAUACCGUUGUCGUCAGGUAACUUUUUAGAAUACAGAAGUUGGCUGGAAAAAUAUAUAAUUUAGUACGUCAAAUCAAGGUGCAGCUUAUAGAAAGGGGAGGAUGGGUUACAAUUAUUAAUUUAUAAUUACGAAUGAUUAUGUUAAAGUGUAAUGUUAGAAGGAGGACUUGAAAGUAAAUUGGAUUUAUAAAAAUAAAUUUGAAUAAGGCUCUGAAACGUGU